UACGUAGGGGGCUAGCGUUGUCCGGAAUCAUUGGGCGUAAAGAGUACGUAGGCGGUUUGCCAAGUUUGGUGUGAAAUCUCCUGGCUUAACCGGGAGGGUGCGCCGAAUACUGGCGGGCUUGAGUAUUGGAGAGGAAAGCGGAAUUCCUGGUGUAGCGGUGAAAUGCGUAGAUAUCAGGAGGAACACCGGUGGUGUAGACGGCUUUCUGGACAAUCACUGACGCUGAGGUACGAAAGCGUGGGUAGCAAACAGG
rnacentral:rRNA from 1 species